GGGUUGUGAGGUUAAGCGACUAAGCGUACACGGUGGAUGCCCUGGCAGUCAGAGGCGAUGAAGGACGUGCUAAUCUGCGAUAAGCGUCGGUAAGGUGAUAUGAACCGUUAUAACCGGCGAUUUCCGAAUGGGGAAACCCAGUGUGUUUCGACACACUAUCAUUAACUGAAUCCAUAGGUUAAUGAGGCGAACCGGGGGAACUGAAACAUCUAAGUACCCCGAGGAAAAGAAAUCAACCGAGAUUCCCCCAGUAGCGGCGAGCGAACGGGGAGCAGCCCAGAGCCUGAAUCAGUGUGUGUGUUAGUGGAAGCGUCUGGAAAGGCGCGCGAUACAGGGUGACAGCCCCGUACACAAAAAUGCACAUGCUGUGAGCUCGAUGAGUAGGGCGGGACACGUGGUAUCCUGUCUGAAUAUGGGGGGACCAUCCUCCAAGGCUAAAUACUCCUGACUGACCGAUAGUGAACCAGUACCGUGAGGGAAAGGCGAAAAGAACCCCGGCGAGGGGAGUGAAAAAGAACCUGAAACCGUGUACGUACAAGCAGUGGGAGCACGCUUAGGCGUGUGACUGCGUACCUUUUGUAUAAUGGGUCAGCGACUUAUAUUCUGUAGCAAGGUUAACCGAAUAGGGGAGCCGAAGGGAAACCGAGUCUUAACUGGGCGUUAAGUUGCAGGGUAUAGACCCGAAACCCGGUGAUCUAGCCAUGGGCAGGUUGAAGGUUGGGUAACACUAACUGGAGGACCGAACCGACUAAUGUUGAAAAAUUAGCGGAUGACUUGUGGCUGGGGGUGAAAGGCCAAUCAAACCGGGAGAUAGCUGGUUCUCCCCGAAAGCUAUUUAGGUAGCGCCUCGUGAAUUCAUCUCCGGGGGUAGAGCACUGUUUCGGCAAGGGGGUCAUCCCGACUUACCAACCCGAUGCAAACUGCGAAUACCGGAGAAUGUUAUCACGGGAGACACACGGCGGGUGCUAACGUCCGUCGUGAAGAGGGAAACAACCCAGACCGCCAGCUAAGGUCCCAAAGUCAUGGUUAAGUGGGAAACGAUGUGGGAAGGCCCAGACAGCCAGGAUGUUGGCUUAGAAGCAGCCAUCAUUUAAAGAAAGCGUAAUAGCUCACUGGUCGAGUCGGCCUGCGCGGAAGAUGUAACGGGGCUAAACCAUGCACCGAAGCUGCGGCAGCGACNNNNNNNNNNNNNNNNNNNNNNNNNNNAUGCUGGAGGUAUCAGAAGUGCGAAUGCUGACAUAAGUAACGAUAAAGCGGGUGAAAAGCCCGCUCGCCGGAAGACCAAGGGUUCCUGUCCAACGUUAAUCGGGGCAGGGUGAGUCGACCCCUAAGGCGAGGCCGAAAGGCGUAGUCGAUGGGAAACAGGUUAAUAUUCCUGUACUUGGUGUUACUGCGAAGGGGGGACGGAGAAGGCUAUGUUGGCCGGGCGACGGUUGUCCCGGUUUAAGCGUGUAGGCUGGUUUUCCAGGCAAAUCCGGAAAAUCAAGGCUGAGGCGUGAUGACGAGGCACUACGGUGCUGAAGCAACAAAUGCCCUGCUUCCAGGAAAAGCCUCUAAGCAUCAGGUAACAUCAAAUCGUACCCCAAACCGACACAGGUGGUCAGGUAGAGAAUACCAAGGCGCUUGAGAGAACUCGGGUGAAGGAACUAGGCAAAAUGGUGCCGUAACUUCGGGAGAAGGCACGCUGAUAUGUAGGUGAAGCGACUUGCUCGUGGAGCUGAAAUCAGUCGAAGAUACCAGCUGGCUGCAACUGUUUAUUAAAAACACAGCACUGUGCAAACACGAAAGUGGACGUAUACGGUGUGACGCCUGCCCGGUGCCGGAAGGUUAAUUGAUGGGGUUAGCGCAAGCGAAGCUCUUGAUCGAAGCCCCGGUAAACGGCGGCCGUAACUAUAACGGUCCUAAGGUAGCGAAAUUCCUUGUCGGGUAAGUUCCGACCUGCACGAAUGGCGUAAUGAUGGCCAGGCUGUCUCCACCCGAGACUCAGUGAAAUUGAACUCGCUGUGAAGAUGCAGUGUACCCGCGGCAAGACGGAAAGACCCCGUGAACCUUUACUAUAGCUUGACACUGAACAUUGAGCCUUGAUGUGUAGGAUAGGUGGGAGGCUUUGAAGUGUGGACGCCAGUCUGCAUGGAGCCGACCUUGAAAUACCACCCUUUAAUGUUUGAUGUUCUAACGUUGACCCGUAAUCCGGGUUGCGGACAGUGUCUGGUGGGUAGUUUGACUGGGGCGGUCUCCUCCUAAAGAGUAACGGAGGAGCACGAAGGUUGGCUAAUCCUGGUCGGACAUCAGGAGGUUAGUGCAAUGGCAUAAGCCAGCUUGACUGCGAGCGUGACGGCGCGAGCAGGUGCGAAAGCAGGUCAUAGUGAUCCGGUGGUUCUGAAUGGAAGGGCCAUCGCUCAACGGAUAAAAGGUACUCCGGGGAUAACAGGCUGAUACCGCCCAAGAGUUCAUAUCGACGGCGGUGUUUGGCACCUCGAUGUCGGCUCAUCACAUCCUGGGGCUGAAGUAGGUCCCAAGGGUAUGGCUGUUCGCCAUUUAAAGUGGUACGCGAGCUGGGUUUAGAACGUCGUGAGACAGUUCGGUCCCUAUCUGCCGUGGGCGCUGGAGAACUGAGGGGGGCUGCUCCUAGUACGAGAGGACCGGAGUGGACGCAUCACUGGUGUUCGGGUUGUCAUGCCAAUGGCACUGCCCGGUAGCUAAAUGCGGAAGAGAUAAGUGCUGAAAGCAUCUAAGCACGAAACUUGCCCCGAGAUGAGUUCUCCCUGACCCUUUAAGGGUCCUGAAGGAACGUUGAAGACGACGACGUUGAUAGGCCGGGUGUGUAAGCGCAGCGAUGCGUUGAGCUAACCGGUACUAAUGAACCGUGAGGCUUAACCUUACAACGCCGAAGCUGUU
rnacentral:rRNA from 1 species